CCAAUCGGUUUCUAGGGUUCCGGCUUGCCGCAUCUGCGGUUAGGGCGUCUGGUCCGAGAGAAACCGCCAGAUAGUUACUGGCCCUGCUUUGAUAGCAGCGCUCACGGUAUCUGGUACACGGCGGGAUAAAAGCCCGGGAGGA
rnacentral:sRNA from 2 species